rnacentral:rRNA from 1 species
CCCCUAGAUGUUCUGGGCCGCACGCGCGCUACACUGAACAGUUCAACAAGUCUUAACCUUGGCCGAUAGGUCUGGGUAAUCUUUGAACGCUGUUCGUGAUUGGGAUAGACCUUUGCAAUUAUGGGUCUUCAACGAGGAAUUCCUAGUAAACGCAAGUCAUCAGCUUGCAUUGAUUACGUCCCUGCCCUUUGUACACACCGCCCGUCGCACCUACCGAUUGAAUGGUCCGGUGAAAUCUCGGGACGGCGGCUUGGUCGCUUGCGUCCGACUGCUGAAACUUGAUUAAACCAUAUCAUUUCGAGGAAGGUGAAGUCGUAACA